rnacentral:rRNA from 1 species
GACGAACGCUGGCGGCGUGCUUAACACAUGCAAGUCGAGCGGUAAGGCCCUUUCGGGGGUACACGAGCGGCGAACGGGUGAGUAACACGUGGGUGACCUGCCCUCAGCUCUGGGAUAAGCCUGGGAAACUGGGUCUAAUACUGGAUAUGACUCCACGGUGCAUGUCGUGGGGUGGAAAGCCUUGUGCGGCUGAGGAUGGGCCCGCGGCCUAUCAGCUUGUUGGUGGGGUGANGGGCCUACCAAGGCGACGACGGGUAGCCGGCCUGAGAGGGCGACCGGCCACACUGGGACUGAGACACGGCCCAGACUCCUACGGGAGGCAGCAGUGGGGAAUCUUGCGCAAUGGGCGAAAGCCUGACGCAGCGACGCCGCGUGAGGGAUGACGGCCUCGGU